rnacentral:rRNA from 1 species
UACGGAGGGUGCAAGCGUUAAUCGGAAUUACUGGGCGUAAAGCGUGCGCAGGCGGUUCGCUAAGACCGAUGUGAAAUCCCAGGGCUUAACCUUGGAACUGCACUUCUAACUACCGGGCUAGAGUACGUCAGAGGGGGGUAGAAUUCCACGUGUAGCAGUGAAAUGCGUAGAGAUGUGGAGGAAUACCGAUGGCGAAGGCAGCCCCCUGGGAUGAUACUGACGCUCAUGCACGAAAGCGUGGGGAGCAAACAGG